UUCUCAACCAUUUGGGGGGGAGGGAGGGGGGAAUCCUAACAGAAGAGGGAGGGUCGAUCGCGAGAAAGAGAUAGUAAGAUCGACUUAGAGGAGAACAAGCCGAACGAGUACAAGAUUUUAGAGAGGAAGUAAGAUCUUAAAAUAGCUAGUUUGAUCGAGAGAAGGAUGGGUGGAAAGAGUACGAACAUCUAAAGAGGAACCGAUGGCAUUGCGUUACAGCAUCGCCAAGGAGGACUUGAGAGAGGACCGACAUUGCAAGUAAACAUCCACGCAGUGGCAGGAGGUAAGACAAAUUUUGGUUUCAAACACCAAAAUUGAGAUUUAUAUUUUCAAAUUCCUUCUUUCGGAGGAUGUAUGCAUGAUUGGGGUUUAAAAAAAAUGGAAAGAUAUUUGAACUUUUAGUAGAAUAUAUAUCGUGCAUCAUAAAAGGCUAAACCCAAAAGUGU
rnacentral:lncRNA from 1 species